rfam:Camelus ferus unplaced genomic scaffold scaffold2028, whole genome shotgun sequence.
GAGGAUGUAGCUCAGUGGUAGAGCGCAUGCUUAGCAUGCAUGAGGUCCUGGGUUCAAUCCCCUGUCCCUCCA